GCCUUCGUGAUGUAGUGGUCAGCAUGCUCAACGCAGAAAUGAAAGGUCCGUGGUUCGAUUCCCGGCGAAGACU
rnacentral:tRNA from 1 species